rnacentral:rRNA from 1 species
GAUGAACGCUGGCGGCGUGCCUAAUACAUGCAAGUCGAGCGAACGGACGAGAAGCUGGCGUCUCUGAUGUUAGCGGCGGACGGGAGAGUAACACGUGGAUAACCUACCUAUAAGACUGGGAUAACUACGGGAGACCGGAGCUAAUACCGGAUAAUAUUUUGAACCGCAUGGGUCAAGAGUAAAAGACGGUCGUUCGGUCACUUAUAGAUGGCUCAGCCCUGCAUUAGCUUGUUGGUAAGGUAACGGCUUACCAAGGCAACGAUGCAUAGCCGACCUCAGAGGGUGGUCGCCCACCCUGGAACUGAGGCUCGGUCGCGACUCCUGGACGGGGCCGCGGUACGGACUCUUCCGCGAUGCAGGAGUGCCUAACGUAGGAACGCCGCGUGAGUGCUGAUGGUGUACGGAUCGUAGAACUCUGUUAUUAUGAGGGUACAUAUGUGUAAUUAACCGUGAACAUAUUGACGGUACCUAAUCAGAAAGCCCCGGCUAACUCCGUG